AUUGAACGCUGGCGGUAGGCCUAACACAUGCAAGUCGAACGGCAGCACAGUAAGAGCUUGCUCUUACGGGUGGCGAGUGGCGGACGGGUGAGGAAUACAUCGGAAUCUACUUUUUCGUGGGGGCUAACGUAGGGAAACUUACGCUAAUACCGCAUACGACCUACGGGUGAAAGCAGGGGAUCUUCGGACCUUGCGCGAUUGAAUGAGCCGAUGUCGGAUUAGCUAGUUGGCGGGGUAAAGGCCCACCAAGGCGACGAUCCGUAGCUGGUCUGAGAGGAUGAUCAGCCACACUGGAACUGAGACACGGUCCAGACUCCUACGGGAGGCAGCAGUGGGGAAUAUUGGACAAUGGGCGCAAGCCUGAUCCAGCCAUACCGCGUGGGUGAAGAAGGCCUUCGGGUUGUAAAGCCCUUUUGUUGGGAAAGAAAAGCAGCAGGUUAAUACCCCGCUGUUCUGACGGUACCCAAAGAAUAAGCACCGGCUAACUUCGUG
rnacentral:rRNA from 1 species